rnacentral:lncRNA from 1 species
AGGCUGGGCGCGGAUCGUGGACAGCCUCGAGUUUCACCCCAGCAGAUCCUCCCGGAGCAGGGCAGAAGGCCAGCGCGGCCGCUCACCGGCCCCGGGGCUGGCAGCAGGCGGCGCGCCCGCAAGGAGGGAGGCAGUAAUGUGGAUCAAGCCUAAGACCCUGCACACGAGAGGCAAGUGCUGCACCACUCUCCAACUCUGGACGACUUUUGAUGUGGCCAGGUAUUGUGCGGCCAUGGGUGAUCACAGCCGACUCCAGAGGCCUAGGCAAGAGGACAGAGAACUGGAGGCCUGCUGUGGCUACACAAAUACCCAGCUUCCAAAAAUAUCUUUUAAGCAUCAGAAUGAAUGAGCCCACAUCAACGAAGGUUCAGAUGAGAACACCGGCAGUGGAAAGACCGACAGCAAAGCCAUGGCCAUAAUCAGAAUAACAUCAGAAUGGAAUUGGAAGAGAUUUGAUUGCUCACUGCUGUCUCCUUGAAGAAUCUCAAACAGGAGUUCAUGCAUUAGGUAUAAAAUAAUGCUUUCUGAAGCUAUGUUGUUCAUCCUUCUCAUCUUUAGAAUCUUCCAAAUGCUGAAGAUAUCCCAAAGCCUUUACUUCAUCUCCAUUCAAAAUUACUUUCACUCCCCCCCCCAAAAAAAAGUAUUUCUCAACCUUGAUUG